UUAAGUUCAGCGGGUAUCCCUACCUGAUCCGAGGUCAAACUUAGAAAGUUGGGGUUCGCUGGCCAGUAGCCACCGGGUCCCUGUAGCGAGGAUAUUUACUACGCUCAGGGCCGCGACGGCACCGCCACUCACUUUAAGGCACGCCGCGUGAAACGGCGAGGCCCAAUACCAAGCAAGGCUUGAGGGUUGUAAUGACGCUC
rnacentral:misc_RNA from 1 species